GGGUCGUUAGCUCAGUUGGUAGAGCAGUUUGACUUUUAAUCAAUUGGUCGCAGGUUCGAAUCCUGCACGACCCA
rnacentral:tRNA from 1 species